rnacentral:lncRNA from 1 species
AGCUAAGAAACCUGUCCAGCCUAGACCUGCGCCACAUCACUGAACUGGACAAUGAAACUGUGAUGGAAAUCGUCAAGAGGUGCAAAAAUCUCAGCUCUCUGAAUCUCUGUCUGAACUGGAUCAUAAACGACAGGAGGAGCCAUCAAGUCACACUCACUCUCAAAUAAGACUUAGCGAACUCCCCUUGCUUAUUUUCCUCGGAUUCACCCUGAGUGAUCAGAUGUUCAACACCCGGAUGUGGGACAUGACUGUUCCUUUGUCUCCUCCUCUGCUUGGCCACACUCUGGCGUCUUCCUUCACUCCAGGGUUCCAUGAGCGUUGGUUUAGUGAUAUUUGAAGACAAUUUCCAUGGGUUAAUGGCGAUCUUGAACGGUCACCAAAGAUAUUUCAGAGACAAACAAGCUUUGUAACACUAAGGCCCUGGUGUGGGGGUGACUGGCGACUGGCUAAAUUGACACGUGUUGCUACAGGCUUUGGAGAAGACCUAUAUUUCCAUAUUUGCACAUGAUCACUGCUAUUGAUAACAGAUUAAUGUCGUCGUAAUGAAGUCCUUCUUCCUGUGUCUACUCUUCUGCCUAAAUGAACCAGUGAAUGUGUAAAAGGAAGAGAACAUUUAUGAAUAAAAACUAAUGCGGU